CUGGAAUUAAAACAACCAAGUAGAAUUGGGCUAUGGCCCAAUUUUGUGCCAAAGAAAGUUGUGUAUACAUAGUUGUAUACUGAUGUAUACGGGCUGUAUAUCGAAUGUAUACAACCUUCUUUUGAACUUCUUGACCUAUAUUUUCAAAUUAUUUUUUUUGUACUCCUGUAUUUGACCUUAGACCUGUAUACUGUAUUUUCCGACUGUAUACUAGCCUUUACAACAUGUAUAUUGCCCGUUUUUGGAUUUUUGAAACUUGCAAUCUGCCUCUUUACAACUGUUAUUCCACUUCCCAGAACCUGUUAACAGAACACAUUCAAUCAAAGCUUAUGGUAAAUCAAAAUCAUAUAAUCUCAGUCAAGAAAUAUGCUCUAGAAUGAAAUCAACAUAGCUUAAACUAAUCAUAGUUAGAAUCAAAACUAAAACAAGACCUUUUCUAUAUUUCAAAAUAGAACAGUAACUAAAUGCUUAGGAAAUACAUAAUGGAUUCUUAAUCGAUCCUAAACGAAGCGAAUCCAACAAAAACAAAGCUAAGAAAAGACUUUUACCUCUUUCUGGGCAGCGAAUGGAGACGAACGAGCUUGAAGGAGCUUUCCACCACGAUUCCAAGUUUAACUUCGCCGAAAACGGAAACAAUAAGCAACUGAUGAUUUUCAACUGUAGACUCUAGUUCCCAAA
rnacentral:lncRNA from 1 species